rnacentral:rRNA from 1 species
AUGCAUCAUCAGGCAAUGUGGAAGCCAGCAUGGUUAGAGGCCCUCAGCACAGAGAAGUUCUUCGUGGCAUGCCCCUUCCAUGAGCACGCCAAGAAGAACGAGAAGAACAUAUGCUGCCUUGACUGCUGCACCAGCAUCUGCCCACACUGUGUGUCGACACACCGGGUACACCGGCUCCUGCAGGUCCGGCGAUAUGUCUACCAUGACGUCGUUCGGCUGGAGGACCUUGAGAAGCUUAUUGACUGUUCCGGUGUUCAGUCAUACACGAUUAACAGCUCUAAGGUCGUUUUCCUGAAGAAGAGACCACAGAAUAGGCAAUUUAAGGGGUCAGGGAAUAUUUGCACCUCCUGCGACAGGAGCCUUCAAGAGCCCUAUUUCUACUGCUCUCUGGAUUGCAAGGUUGAGUACAUAUUACGGAAGAAGAAAGACUUGUCAGCAUACCUGCGUCCAUGCAAGACCUUGCAGCUUGGUCCUGACUUCUUCAUUCCUCAUGACGCUGAUGAUGAGACAACCCAAUCAACACUUGUUGAUGCUGAUGAGCCUAUGGGAUCAUCAGACUCCGAUAAUUUGAGCAUACCAUACACAAAUUUUGUCCGGAAGAAGCGCAGCGGACCAUAUAUCUGUGCACGAUCUGCAAGCCGGGUCUCUGACGAUGACAUGGCCACAAACAUGAGCAGAAGGAAAGGGGUGCCUCAACGAUCACCUUUGUGCUAA